UUAAACGUCCAUACCACGUUGAAUACACUGGUUCUACAUCCGAUCAUCGAAGUUAAGCAACGUUGGGCGCGGUCAAUACUUGGAUGUUUUUA
rnacentral:rRNA from 1 species